UUCCCCGGCGCGCGUAGUUGUUGCGGCCCAGGAUAACAUGGCUGCCGCAGUUCGGCGGCUGAGUCACGUUUUGCUGUUUACGCUGCAGAGUUCCGUGUCUCCCGGGGUGGGAGGCUCAGGCUCCACAUGCUGCCGCUGCCCUCUCGGAGCUAAAAGAUAUCUACUUACAGAUAAUGUUGUGAAAUUAAAAGAAUUUCAGCAUAAGAAGGUGGUUAUUGCAAAUCAUCUUCCUGGUACUAAAGCAACCUACCUGAGAAACAUGAAAGAGAAAUUGGCCCAGAAUAAGCUCAUCUUGAAGGACGAGUUGAAAACCUUCCUUCAUUUGUGUGACACCCGGGAUGAUGUGGAACUGGCUAAAAAUGUCAUUUACAGGUACCAUACAGAGAACAGAAAUGUCACUUUGGGAGAGUAUAAAUUUGGACCACUUUUCAUGAGGUUGUGCUACGAGUUGGAUCUUGAGGAAUCUGCAUUGGAACUCAUCAAAGACCAGCAUUUACGAGGUUUCUUCUCAGACACCACGUCGUUCAAUAUUUUGAUGGAUAUGUUAUUUAUUAAAGGCAAAUAUACAAGUGCGCUGGAAGUGCUGAUAGAGAUGAAAAACCAAGAUGUGAAAUUCAACAAAGAAACCUAUGUCCUUGCUUUUGCAAUUUGCUACAAACUGAAUAGCCCUGAAUCUUUGAAAAUCUGUACUACAUUAAGAGAAGAAGCCCUAAUCAAAGGAGAAGUCCUCUCCAGGAGAGCAUCCUGUUUUGCUGUGGCACUAGCUCUGAAUCAGAACCAGGUGGCGAAAGCUAUAUCAAUUUUUUCUCAAAUCAUGAAGCCAGAAAGCAUUAUCUGCACUAAUUUAAAUAUUUUGAUUCACAUUCAGUCAAAUAUGUUGAAAACCCUGAUAAAGAUAUUAAAGGAUGCUGCAGACGGAAAUUUAUCAAAAUUUGUGAAAAGACAGGAGUUCUCAGAAGAAGUGGAAUCUGCCACUCCUGUCAAGAGUCUCUGCCUCACUUCCUAUUUGCCUGCCUCUGUACCUUUACCUGUGAUGGUCUCUAUUCUCUUCACAUGGAAUAGCCUCCUCUUCCUACCCCGCUCCUCAACACUCAACUCCAAAGCCUGAUACAGAGAGUGGGAUUCGGAAUUAGGCCAUCAGAUUGGCAACAAAUAAAUUGCAUCCAGGCUGCUAAGGGGGACUGAAAAAUGAUUCCAGACAACAUGCAUCUAUUGAAUGUUUGAAAAAGAACCCAGGGAGAGAGUGUCUCUUAGGUAACUAUGCAUUCUAAUUUCUAGGUCUUAUUACAAGGGCACUUUGUAUCUAUACUAAUGAUCUCCUUUUGUCAUUAUUAUUCUUCUUCAAACUAGAUGGACGUAGGCUUGAAUACCAUCCUGUAGAGCUACUAGUUUUAUGAUUCUGGUCAAUUUACUUACCCUCCCCUUGUCUGUUCUCUGGUUAUUCUUUUUAUUUAAAAUAAGUAGGUAGGACCUGGGAAAAACAAGUCAGGUGUCCAGUGAAAGUUAUUGCCUUUCAUUUCCCCUCUCCCCACUUCCCAACAUGUACCAUAGCAUCAGCUCCGGAGAGUAUUUGUGCAGUUGAUAAUCUCCUUUUGGUCUAGAAUUAGCAUGCAUUUUCUUACAGUUACACACUCUGGGAUAAUGUCAGUUCGAAGGAAACAUUUGGUCCCUGCAUGGUCCAGUGGAGUAUCAUCUAAGAGAGCUACUUGUUAGCUGUCAAGGGGCCUUUCAAAGUGGCAUUUAUUCCGUGGGAAUUCGCGGUGGUCCAAGACCUCAUCUUCAGCCUUUCAGUCAUGGAACCUGAUUUGUCCUAUACUGCUGGAGGGUCUCUCCUUCCCAGGAACUCUGUGUUAACUGUAGUCACAGAGAUUGAUACAUACAAACCGGAAUGCUGAUUCUUUAGCUUACAGUGAAAACUGUACCAGUGGUGGUGAUGGUGGUGGUGAUGCUAGUGGAGAAGGGCAGACAGUUUACUCGAGGUACAAAACAAGGGAAAUUGGCUCCACAGUGUCAGUUUUUAGCAGGCCCUGACAGCGUCCUCCCUCCUCUCACAACUAGAGCUUGCUGAGGUGGCCACCUCCCGCUUCUCGUGUUCUAGAUUCCAUUUUCUAUGUUCUAGUCCAUGCCUUUCUGUUCAUGCAUCUUUCUCCAACUAAAGCACAAUAACAUUC